GGUGGGGUUCCCGAGCGGCCAAAGGGAGCAGACUGUAAAUCUGCCGUGAUCGACUUCGAAGGUUAGAAUCCUUCCCCCACCACCA
rnacentral:tRNA from 1 species